UGGGGAAUAUUGCACAAUGGGCGAAAGCCUGAUGCAGCAACGCCGCGUGAGCGAAGAAGGUCUUCGGAUCGUAAAGCUCUGUCCUUGGGGAAGAUAAUGACGGUACCCUUGGAGGAAGCCCCGGCUAACUACGUGCCAGCAGCCGCGGUAAUACGUAGGGGCAAGCGUUAUCCGGAUUUACUGGGUGUAAAGGGAGCGUAGACGGUAGACCAAGUCUGAAGUGAAAGCCCGGGGCUCAACCCCGGAACUGCUUUGGAAACUGGUAAACUAGAGUGCAGGAGAGGUAAGUGGAAUUCCUAGUGUAGCGGUGAAAUGCGUAGAUAUUAGGAGGAACACCAGUGGCGAAGGCGGCUUACUGGACUGUAACUGACGUUGAGGCUCGAAAGCGUGGGGAGCAAACAGGAUUAGAUACCCUGGUAGU
rnacentral:rRNA from 1 species